rnacentral:misc_RNA from 1 species
UCAUGAAUCACGUAGAAAACAAAUGCUAGGGGACAACUUUGGCAUUUAAAAAAUUGGCAUAGAAUCUGAACCAAUCAGCUAGGACUAUGACAAGAGAGUGAACAUCUCUGUGGGUGCUGCAGAACACCACAUACCUAGUUCCGCAUAAGAUGCGCAUAUAGAAUAAAUUUAGAUAUCAACAACUAACUGAGUUCCAGAACUUCCCUCCACUCCCCCACCGCUUUCUCCCCAAAGUUGAAAACAUG